CGAUGUCUUCUCCCUUUGCACCUUCUCUUUCUAAAUUACCCUUUCGUUUUCAUUUGCAGGCAAAACCAAAGGAGACAAACCUUGUGGCCCAAGGAAAUCAGGCUGUCUCGCUUGCUAAAGUAAUUGUGUGCUGAAAUAAUCAGUAGGUGAGAGCCGACUGAAAACAAAUCUCUUAACACAUAAACCAGCUUCACAGGAACUAUUCCAUGUUAUCUCCGAUCAGUGACCUUUUUCAGAUGGAGUUCAUAAGAAGAUGAGGAGGAGGAAGUCUCUAAACUAUUGCCAAAAUAUCUUUAACUGCACGUGCAAGAUUUUUAAAAAUGACACGUAACCCUCCUCAGAGGUUAUAAUAACUUGGCCUUCUACUGACUUCAGUGGAAUUCAGCAGCCAAGAGUCAAGCGCAGCCUGAACGACAUACUGCCACUUGGAUUAAUGCCACUACUGUUUAUGCUUCUGAUUGCCAUUUAAAUGUUCCCAGCAAUUGAAGAUGUUCAUAAGGAAAGGGAUGGCUUUUAUGAGGAAUAGAAUUUUGACUAGUAAGUUUAUG